rnacentral:rRNA from 1 species
UACGAAAGGGGCUAGCGCUGUUAGGAUUUACUGGGCGUAAAGCGCACGUAGGCGGCCUUGUAAGUUGGCGGUGAAAUCCCCGGGCUCAACCCGGGAACUGCCUUCAAGACUGCAAAGCUAGAGGAUGCUAGAGGUUGGCGGAAUUCCGAGUGUAGAGGUGAAAUUCGUAGAUAUUCGGAAGAACACCAGUGGCGAAGGCGGCCAACUGGCGCAUUUCUGACGCUGAGGUGCGAAAGCGUGGGGAACAAACAGG